rnacentral:lncRNA from 1 species
AAAGGAAAAACCAGUGGGACAGAACCUGCAGAUUUUGCCUUACCCAGUUCCCGAGGAGGCCCAGGAAAACUGAGGUGCAGACAGGUUUUCCAGAGAGAACCCAGCAGGGGCAGGGCUGCUGAUGUUUUAAUAUCACAUGAAGAAAUACUGGGGAAUGCCCUGCCUCGAGCUGGAGAAAUCAGUGCCUCUUCCUCCAUUGUGGGCAAAGAAGUCCCUUAGGGGAUGUUGGGAAUGCUGGGUACAUUCUCCUGCCAUGCCUAUAUUCUGCAACAUAUCCGUAUUUUGGUUGGGAGUACACAUUUGCAAUAGGCUCCCACUGUGUUCUAUGUCUUGGUUUUUGGUCUCCUCUGUGGGUAUCCAGAGCCUGAAGUAGAAUAGAAGGUCGGGCAGAAAUGGGUGUAGCAUCUCAAAUAGCAACAGCAAAGCUAUGUCAGGAGGGAGUAG